UAAUCCCCAGUGUUACGCAGUCAUCUGUCUCCCUCUGCCCACCCUUCCCUCUUCGGCUUGAAGGAGUCUUUGUUCUUGGGUUGAUUUAAUAAACAAACUUCUUCCAGGAAAUUAGCACAAGCACACUGGGGACUCGAGCAGCUUCUGCAAACGGCUGAAAAACAGAGCUGCGUGUCUGAUGCUCCAAGUGCUUUUCAAGCAUGGAAAUGUGAAGAAAUAGACUGGAGUAAAAAGCGAUGGCUCAAUCCCCCAUAGUGUCUGGGGUUCCAAAGUGAGGACUGGUGUAUAGGACCUAAGAGGAAGAGGGAGAAAGGUAAAUCCAGUGUUUAACACUUGACUGUCACCUGAAACCUUAAGUGCAAAUAAAUUUGCACCGUUUUCUGACGCAGUGGACAGGUGCAUAAAGCUGUAUUAUAUAUAGAGAGCAGGUAGGUGACGUAGAGUUGGGUCAUAGGAUAAUUACAAUGAAGGUUAUUUGCCUACUGUAUAUUUGUGUAUUUAGUGUAAUUACUUUGUAAAAUAGAAAACUGUAACUAUUUAGGUUGUACAGAUUGAAGUUUAGUUGUUUCAUUGGCUGAUCUGAAGAGGUUUGGAAAGUCUUUUUUUUUUUUUUUUUAAGGCUACGUAAAUAAGAAUGCACCUACGCAACUGUUCAGAAUUUGGCAGAUUUAUGCUGUUUGUGUAACUUCUGAAUUUCCCUGGCUGCUGAUUAUCUUGAAGUAAAUCUUUGUUCAUUGUAGUUUGGUCUACGGAAAAAAAGAGGAAAAAAAAAAAAAAACACACUCCAAAAAUUAUCAGCCCUUGCUAGCAAAGAAUAAUAAUAAUUAAAAAGAAAAUUGGGUUUCUCCGUAUGGAUUUUUGCAUAUGAUCUGUAUAGUAGUAUGCAUAUGUUUUUGUGCAUGUUCUCUAAACAGUUGUAACACGUCGAUGUAUUUAACUGUUGCACUUGUCAACUUUCAAUAAAGCAUACCAUGUUGAUAA